AAAUAGGACCUGUUACUUUCAUCAGGUUGUUUUUUGACAAUGCCACGCAGACGCAGACACGCCGCUCGCCCCGUUCGCAGACGCAGGAGGACCCGCAGGUCCUCCCACGUCCACAGACGCAGGAGAGUCGUCCGACGCAGACGCUAGGCAACGCCAAUAAACAUCCAUCUUUAGGAGCAAUCUGAAGAGCAAAAGAC